rnacentral:misc_RNA from 1 species
AGAGAAGAGAAAGAAGGAUAAAUUAAAGAGAGGGAAAAAAGGGGCUGUCUCUAAUUCGUGGGGAAAGUAUGGGAUCAUCUCCAUUUAGCUGUCAUGAGAGGCAGAGUUGAGGUCAUUCAAGAAUUGGUAAUUGAAUCCUGUUCAGAGUUGCUCGAUGGAGAUACAGUUUUCCACUUGCGUGUAAAAUUUAACCAUCUGGAGGCUUUGACGUUAUUGGUGACGAUGGCCAAGGAAGGUGAGUUCGCUAGAGGAAAUCAAAAUGGCAAUACAAUCUUGCAUCUAGUAGUAACGCUAAAGCAAUCAGAGGUAAAGCCAGAUGGCUAUCUUUUUUUUUUCCCCCUAUUUUCAUGCUUCUAUACUUGUGGAAUGAAGAGAUUCUUCUGUUUUUAAUACACUGGGCAAAGUAAAGCAACAAGAAUAUAAUGUCCAUUGUUCAGACUAUAAAAUACUUGUUUUGCUUGGCUGAAGUAAAUUUAAUAGCAAAUGCCAUAAAAUGGAAUGGGUUUCACAGCCUUGGUUGUGUUGGAGCAGUAUUCCAGAGACUUCAAAAGUCUAGAAAUUCAACACGCUUUUAUAGAAGCUGGUGUUAGAAGAUCCAAGGAGCUAAACAGAAGUGCUCCUCCUCAAUCAACUAUUGCAGCAAUUGUUUCAAGCGAUUCCAGUAUUGCUGCCAAUCUUCCAAGUAAAGCAUCAAAAGUAAAAUCAUGAUUUCAGAAACUUAUGAAAUACUUAGAAUAUGAUAGGGAAGAAACAAGGGGUGCACUGAUGAUAAUAGCUACUGUAAUUGCAACCAUGACUUUCCAAGCUGGAUUGAACCCACCUGGUGGUGUCUGGCAACAAAAUUUCAAAGUAGCACUGGCGGCCCUGCUUGUAGUGAGGCUAAUGUCUGUGAAGCUGGAACUGCAAUUUUAGCGUACAACUCUUGAAAUAUAAGAGAGUUGUAGCCUUAAGAGGAAGUUAAGAAGGAAAGCAACAGUUUGGUUUCUACAGCACAUG